GGAUCGAGGGCUGUAACUCGCCCUCGUGAACAUGGAAUGCCUAGUAAUCGCGUGUCAUCAACACGCGGUGAAUACGUCCCCGCUCCUUGCACACACCGCCCGUCGCUCCAUCCGAGUGAGGUUUGGGUGAGGCGUGGUCCUUUGUGGCUGUGUCGAAUCUAGGUCUCGCAAGGAGGGAGAAGUCGUAACAAGGUGGCCGUAGGGGAACCUGCGGCCGGAUCACCUCCUAAGAAA
rnacentral:rRNA from 1 species